rnacentral:rRNA from 1 species
CCUUCGGGGGCAGAGUGACAGGUGGUGCAUGGUUGUCGUCAGCUCGUGUCGUGAGAUGUUGGGUUAAGUCCCGCAACGAGCGCAACCCUUGAUCUUAGUUGCCAGCAUUCAGUUGGGCACUCUAAGGUGACUGCCGGUGACAAACCGGAGGAAGGUGGGGAUGACGUCAAAUCAUCAUGCCCCUUAUGACCUGGGCUACACACGUGCUACAAUGGACAGAACAAAGGGCAGCGAAACCGCGAGGUUAAGCCAAUCCCACAAAUCUGUUCUCAGUUCGGAUCGCAGUCUGCAACUCGACUGCGUGAAGCUGGAAUCGCUAGUAAUCGCGGAUCAGCAUGCCGCGGUGAAUACGUUCCCGGGUCUUGUACACACCGA